rnacentral:rRNA from 1 species
UACAGAGGUCUCAAGCGUUGUUCGGAUUCAUUGGGCGUAAAGGGCGCGUAGGCGGCGGGGUAAGUCGGGUGUGAAAUCUCAGAGCUCAACUCUGAAACUGCACUCGAUACUGCUUUGCUAGAGGACUGGAGAGGAGAUUGGAAUUCACGGUGUAGCAGUGAAAUGCGUAGAUAUCGUGAGGAAGACCAGUGGCGAAGGCGGAUCUCUGGACAGUUACUGACACUGAGGCACGAAGGCCAGGGGAGCAAACGGG